CUGGCGCAGCUAACACAUGCAAGUCGAGCGGAUGAGGGAAGCUUGCUUCCCAAUUUAGCGGCGGACGGGUGAGUAAUGCCUAGGAAUCUGCCUAUUAGUGGGGGAUAACGUUCCGAAAGGAACGCUAAUACCGCAUACGUCCUACGGGAGAAAGUGGGGGAUCUUCGGACCUCACGCUAAUAGAUGAGCCUAGGUCGGAUUAGCUAGUUGGUGGGGUAACGGCUCACCAAGGCGACGAUCCGUAGCUGGUCUGAGAGGAUGAUCAGCCACACUGGAACUGAGACACGGUCCAGACUCCUACGGGAGGCAGCAGUGGGGAAUAUUGGACAAUGGGCGAAAGCCUGAUCCAGCCAUGCCGCGUGUGUGAAGAAGGUCUUCGGAUUGUAAAGCACUUUAAGUUGGGAGGAAGGGUUGUAAGCUAAUAUCUUGCAGCUUUGACGUUACCAACAGAAUAAGCACCGGCUAACUCUGUGCCAGCAGCCGCGGUAAUACAGAGGGUGCAAGCGUUAAUCGGAAUUACUGGGCGUAAAGCGCGCGUAGGCGGCUUAGUAAGUUGGAUGUGAAAGCCCCGGGCUCAACCUGGGAACUGCAUCCAAAACUGCUUGGCUAGAGUACAGUAGAGGGUGGUGGAAUUUCCUGUGUAGCGGUGAAAUGCGUAGAUAUA
rnacentral:rRNA from 1 species